GGUUAAGUUAACAAGGGCGCAUGGUGAAUGCCUUGGCACUAGGAGCCGAUGAAGGACGGGACUAACACCGAUAUGCUUCGGGGAGCUGUACGUAAGCUAUGAUCCGGAGAUUUCCGAAUGGGGCAACCCAGCAGUUUUAAUCAACUGUUACCACUAGAUGAAUUCAUAGUCUAGUUGGAGGUAAACGCUGUGAACUGAAACAUCUCAUUAGCAGCAGGAAUAUAAAGAAAUUUCGAUUCCCUAAGUAGCGGCGAGCGAACGGGGAACAGCCCAAACCAAAGUGCUUGCACUUUGGGGUUGUAGGACUGAACAUUUGAGUUACCAAAGAACUUGAUAGUCGAAGGAUUUGGGAAAAUCCGCCAUAGAUGGUGAUAGCCCAGUAGAUUAAAUCAAAUUCUCUCAGUUCAGGAUCCUGAGUACGGCGGAACACGUGAAAUUCCGUCGGAAUCCGGGAGGACCAUCUCCCAAGGCUAAAUACUACCUAGUGACCGAUAGUGAACCAGUACCGUGAGGGAAAGGUGAAAAGCACCCCGGGAGGGGAGUGAAAUAGUUCCUGAAACCAUGUGCCUACAAUAAGUCAGAGCGCGUUAAUGCGUGAUGGCGUGCCUUUUGUAGAAUGAACCGGCGAGUUAUGAUCCCGUGCAAGGUUAAGACUAAAAAGUCGGAGCCGUAGCGAAAGCGAGUCUGAAAUGGGCGUUUUGAGUACGAGGUUAUAGACCCGAAACCAGGUGACCUAUCCAUGUCCAGGUUGAAGGUGCGGUAAAACGCACUGGAGGACCGAACCCGUGUAAGUUGAAAAUUGCUGGGAUGAGGUGUGGAUAGCGGUGAAAUUCCAAACGAACUUGGAGAUAGCUGGUUCUCUCCGAAAUAGCUUUAGGGCUAGCCUCGGAAUUAGGAUCAUGGAGGUAGAGCACUAUUUGGACUAGGGGCCCGUCUUGGGUUACUGAAUUCAGAUAAACUCCGAAUGCCAUUGAUUCAUAUCCGGGAGUCAGACGAUGAGUGAUAAGAUCCACCGUCGAAAGGGGAACAGCCCAGACCAUCAGUUAAGGUCCCUAAAUGUAUGCUAAGUGGAAAAGGAUGUGGAGUUGCAUAGACAACUAGGAUGUUGGCUCAGAAGCAGCCACCAUUUAAAGAGUGCGUAAUAGCUCACUAGUCGAGUGAUCCUGCGCCGAAAAUGUACCGGGGCUAAGCAUACUACCGAAACCAUGGAUGCGACCAUUAGGUCGCGUGAUAGGAGAGCGUUCUAAGGGCGGUGAAGCAAGAUCGUGAGGACUUGUGGAGCGCUUAGAAGUGAGAAUGCCGGUAUGAGUAGCGAAAGAUAGGUGAGAAUCCUAUCCACCGAAUGACUAAGGUUUCCUGGGGAAGGCUCGUCCUCCCAGGGUUAGUCGGGACCUAAGUCGAGGCCGAGAGGCGUAGACGAUGGAUAACAGGUUGAGAUUCCUGUACUAGUUAAGUGCGUUUGAGCAAUGGAGGGACGCAGGAGGCUAAGAUGUGCAUUCUGUUGGAUUAGAAUGUCCAAGCAGUAAGUCUUGUGAAGAGUCAAAUGCUUUUCACUUUAAGGACAAGCUGUGAUGGGGAGCGAAAUUUAGUAGCGAAGCGUCUGAUGUCACACUGCCGAGAAAAGCUUCUAGUGAGUACUUAACUACCCGUACCGUAAACCGACACAGGUAGUCGAGGAGAGAAUCCUAAGGUGAGCGAGUGAACUCUCGUUAAGGAACUCGGCAAAAUGACCCCGUAACUUCGGGAGAAGGGGUGCUGAUCGCAAGAUCAGCCGCAGUGAAUAGGCCCAGGCGACUGUUUAUCAAAAACACAGGUCUCUGCAAAAUCGUAAGAUGACGUAUAGGGGCUGACGCCUGCCCGGUGCUGGAAGGUUAAAAGGAUGGGUUAGCUUCGGCGAAGCUCAGAAUUGAAGCCCCAGUAAACGGCGGCCGUAACUAUAACGGUCCUAAGGUAGCGAAAUUCCUUGUCGGGUAAGUUCCGACCCGCACGAAAGGCGUAACGAUCUGGGCACUGUCUCAACGAGAGACUCGGUGAAAUUAUAUUGUCCGUGAAGAUGCGGACUACCCGCGACAGGACGGAAAGACCCCAUGGAGCUUUACUGUAGCUUGAUAUUGAGUGUUUGUACAGCUUGUACAGGAUAGGUAGGAGCCAUAGAAACCGGAACGCUAGUUUCGGUGGAGGCGUUGGUGGGAUACUACCCUCGCUGUAUGACCACUCUAACCCGCACCACUAAUCGUGGUGGGAGACAGUGUCAGGUGGGCAGUUUGACUGGGGCGGUCGCCUCCUAAAAAGUAACGGAGGCGCCCAAAGGUUCCCUCAGAAUGGUUGGAAAUCAUUCGCAGAGUGUAAAGGCACAAGGGAGCUUGACUGCGAGACAGACAGGUCGAGCAGGGACGAAAGUCGGGCUUAGUGAUCCGGUGGUACCGUAUGGAAGGGCCAUCGCUCAACGGAUAAAAGCUACCCUGGGGAUAACAGGCUUAUCUCCCCCAAGAGUCCACAUCGACGGGGAGGUUUGGCACCUCGAUGUCGGCUCAUCGCAUCCUGGGGCUGUAGUCGGUCCCAAGGGUUGGGCUGUUCGCCCAUUAAAGCGGUACGCGAGCUGGGUUCAGAACGUCGUGAGACAGUUCGGUCCCUAUCCGUCGCGGGCGUAGGAAAUUUGAGAGGACCUGUCCUUAGUACGAGAGGACCGGGAUGGACAUACCUCUGGUGUACCAGUUGUGCCGCCAGGCGCAUCGCUGGGUAGCUACGUAUGGAUGUGAUAAACGCUGAAAGCAUCUAAGUGUGAAACACACCUCGAGAUGAGAUUUCCCAUUCCUUUAUGGAAGUAAGACCCCUGAAAGAUGAUCAGGUAGAUAGGUUAGAAGUGGCAGUGCGGUGACGCAUGAAGCGGACUAAUACUAAUCGGUCGAGGACUUAACCAA
rnacentral:rRNA from 1 species